UGGCUCAGAACGAACGCUGGCGGCGCGUUUAAGCAUGCAAGUCGAGCGGCAAGGGCCUUCGGGCCCCUAGAGCGGCGGACGGGUGAGUAACACGUGGACAAUCUCGCCCCCCGGCCCGGGAUAGCCCAGGGAAACCUGGAUUAAUACCGGAUGAGACGGGACCCGCGAUGGCGGGACCCGGGAAAGGCGCUGCGGCGCCGCCGGGGAUGAGUCUGCGUCCCAUUAGCUAGACGGCGGGGUAACGGCCCACCGUGGCGACGAUGGGUAGCCGGCCUGAGAGGGUGGACGGCCACAUUGGAACUGAGACACGGUCCAGACUCCUACGGGAGGCGGCAGCUAAGAAUCUUCCGCAAUGGGCGAAAGCCUGACGGAAGCGACGCCGCGUGAACGAAGAAGGCCGUGAGGUUGUAAAGUUCUUUUCGGGAGGGGGAACAACCGUGGCAGGGAAUGGCCGCGGGAUGACGUGAAUCCCGGAAUAAGCCCCGGCUAACUACGUGCCAGCCGCGGC
rnacentral:rRNA from 1 species